GAUGUACUCCCUCCGUAUCAAAAUUCUUAUCUUAGAUUUGUCUAAAUACGGAUGUAUCAAGUCACAUUUUAGUAUUAGAUACAUCCGUAUCUAGACAAAUCUAAGACAAGAAUUUUGGGACGGAGGGAGUAUAAG
rnacentral:pre_miRNA from 1 species